GCCUCGGUAGCUCAAUGGUAGAGCAGUUGGCUCUUAACCAAUUGGUUGGGGGUUCGAGUCCCUCCCGGGGUACCA
rnacentral:tRNA from 1 species